rnacentral:rRNA from 1 species
UACGAAGGGGGCUAGCGUUGCUCGGAAUUACUGGGCGUAAAGGGCGCGUAGGCGGAUUGAUAAGUUGGAGGUGAAAGCCCAGGGCUCAACCCUGGAAUUGCCUUCAAUACUGUCAGUCUUGAGUAUGAGAGAGGUGUGUGGAACUCCGAGUGUAGAGGUGAAAUUCGUAGAUAUUCGGAAGAACACCAGUGGCGAAGGCGACACACUGGCUCAUUACUGACGCUGAGGCGCGAAGGCGUGGGGAGCAAACAGG